rnacentral:lncRNA from 1 species
AUGCCUGGGCCUGACCUCUUCUCCAGCUCCUUCAAAAUACCCUUUCCAGAACCCAGGACUCUGCAUUUGGAUCCUGCCCUUGAUCUUCUGAGAGCCCAGUGUCCUCAUGAUGAAAAUGGACCUGAGGAUCCUUUUCUCUCAGUGACGGGGUGGGGUGGGGGGGAUGAAGCAGGGACACGGUGGGAUUCAAGGACCCCACCUCCCUGCUCUUCCUCUGCCCCACCCCCUCCUCAGGCUCCCUCCUCCAGCCUCUGUCCUCUCAGCUCCCCACUCUGCUCCUCCUGGCCCUCUUCCCUGUCCUGCCGGCUUCCCCCUGGGCUCUUAGCCCUGAGAGGUAGCGCCUGGCCCCCACUCCCUCUCCCCACAUUGUCCCCAAAGGGGACCUGCCUGCCUGCCCCCACUUCCCUGCUCCUGGGCCUUUUCCUGUCCCGGCUCCCUGGCUACUUCCCUCCUUUGGGGCCUCUUUCCUCCCCCUCUGCCUACCCCCUCUUCCCUUCUAUCUCCCUCACCCUUCCCUCCCGCAUUCAUUCUGCAAAUAUUUACCAAAGGUGUACCAGGACUUUCUCCCCCUCUUGCUUCCCCUCAGUCCAGGACACUGCCUCUCUCUCUCCCCUUUUUCCAUCUCUCCCCUCUGCUCCUCCCCACCUUUCUCUCUCUCACCUCCCCUCUUUUCCUUCCUCUCCCGAUUUCCUUCCUCUCUUCUUCCCUCUUCUUCCUUCCUUCCCUUUUCCUCCCUCCUGUGUUUCUUCCACCCCUCCACCCUCCCCCCCUCCACCCUCUCGUCCCUCCCCUUUUCUCUCCCUGACCCAUCCUCUGCUUUUUUUUCUCUCUCCCGUCUCUACCCCCUCUUCCUCUCCCUCUCCUCCUCUCUGCCCUCCCUCCCCUCUCUCCUCUCCCCCCUCCUUUCCUUCCCGGGCAGCCUCUCCCCCCCCCCCCACUCCCGGCGCCCUCCCUCCCCUCCCUCCCGCUCCCCCUCCAUCAUCAGUAUUCCGCUCCCGUCUCCGCCGCUCUCGGCUGCUCGCGGUCGCUGCCGCACCGUCCGAGGCGGGGGCCGGGGCCGGGGCCGGGGCCUGGGGGGGUGGGGUGGGGGGAGAGCGGCGCCGGCGGCCCGAGGAGGGAGGAAGGAAGGAAGGAAGGCUGGAAGGAAGGAAGCAAGGAAAGAAAGAAGGAAAGAAAGGAAGGCAAGAAGGAAGGCGGGCGGCGGGCCGGCGGGCGAGGGCGCCGGGCCGGGCGGCAGGCGGGCGGGCGAGCGAGGAGGCAGAGCGGCCCCCCGAACCCCACCGCUACCGCUGCGGAAGCCCCCUCCCCAUCCAGGAGCCGGGGAGGGGGGGAGAACUCGAGAGACCCAGGCCCGGCCGCAGCCCCGCCCCCCGCGCCUCCCCGCAGCGGGCCUCGCACCCCAAAUCCCUGUGCCUCAUUGGGGGGGUCCUCCCCCCGCGGGCCGGGCAUGCUGCCCCGGAGAAGGAGCCCCUUUCCUCGCUGUGA